CCUACGGGAGGCUGCAGUGGGGAAUAUUGGACAAUGGGGGCAACCCUGAUCCAGCCAUGCCGCGUGUGUGAAGAAGGCCCUCGGGUUGUAAAGCACUUUCAGUGAGGAAGAACGCCUGGUGGUUAAUACCCAUCAGGAAAGACAUCACUCACAGAAGAAGCACCGGCUAACUCCGUGCCAGCAGCCGCGGUAAUACGGAGGGUGCGAGCGUUAAUCGGAAUUACUGGGCGUAAAGCGCGCGUAGGUGGCUUGAUAAGCCGGUUGUGAAAGCCCCGGGCUCAACCUGGGAACGGCAUCCGGAACUGUCAAGCUAGAGUGCAGGAGAGGAAGGUAGAAUUCCCGGUGUAGCGGUGAAAUGCGUAGAGAUCGGGAGGAAUUCCAGUGGCGAAGGCGGCCUUCUGGACUGACUCUGACACUGAGGUGCGAAAGCGUGGGUAGCAAACAGGAUUAGAUACCCUUGUAGUC
rnacentral:rRNA from 1 species